rnacentral:rRNA from 1 species
AGAGUUUGAUCCUGGCUCAGAAUCAACGCUGGCGGCGCGCUUAACACAUGCAAGUCGAACGAGAAAGGGGAGCAAUCCCUGAGUAAAGUGGCGUACGGGUGAGUAACACGUGGGUAAUCCACUCUUUGGUGGGGAAUAACCCUGGGAAACCGGGGCUAAUACCGCAUAAGCCUGAAAAGGGAAAGGUGAAAAUCGCCGAAGAAGGAGCCCGCGGCUGAUUAGCUAGUUGGUGGGGUAAAAGCUCACCAAGGCGAAGAUCGGUAGCCGGCCUGAGAGGGCACACGGCCACACUGGCACUGAAACACGGGCCAGACUCCUACGGGAGGCAGCAGUGGGGAAUCUUGCACAAUGGGGGCAACCCUGAUGCAGCGACGCCGCGUGAGCGAUGAAGCCCUUCGGGGUGUAAAGCUCUUUCGGCAGGAACGAUGAUGACGGUACCUGAAGAAGAAGCUGCGGCUAACUACGUGCCAGCAGCCGCGGUAAUACGUAGGCAGCGAGCGUUGUUCGGAGUUACUGGGCGUAAAGCGUGCGUAGGCGGUGUUGUAAGUUUGGUGUGAAAUCUCCCGGCUCAGCUGGGAGGGUGCGCCGAAAACUGCAAGGCUGGAGUAUGGGAGAGGUAGGCGGAAUUCCUGGUGUAGCGGUGAAAUGCGUAGAUAUCAGGAGGAACACCAGUGGUGUAGACGGCUUACUGGACCAUGACUGACGCUGAGGCACGAAAGCGUGGGGAGCAAACAGGAUUAGAUACCCUGGUAGUCCACGCCCUAAACGAUGCAUACUUGGUGUGGGCAGUUCAUUCUGUCCGUGCCGGAGCUAACGCGUUAAGUACGCCGCCUGGGGAGUACGGUCGCAAGGCUGAAACUCAAAUGAAUUGACGG